rnacentral:tRNA from 1 species
CGUAGCUCAGUAGGAUAGAGCGUAGGUUUCCUAAACCUGAGGUCGUGGGUUCAAUUCCCUCCGG